rnacentral:tRNA from 1 species
AGUUUGUGAACUUGUUAAAGUAUAUGUUUUGAAAACAUAAGAAAGAAGUAAAAUCUUCUACAAACUU